GCCAGCACCGAAAUCAACUUCUGGGGCGACUUGUUAAGGGGUAUUCACGCGAGGGAGAAAUCCCGGGGAUUUCUCCCCGGCACGUGCGCAUCACGAGAUGAAAACGCGAGGCUUUUGCACAUUGAAAAGCCUGACGUUUUCGUCGUGGGACGCGCGUGCCGGGGAGAAAUCCCCGGGAUUUCUCCCUCGUGUGAAUACCCUUUU
rnacentral:SRP_RNA from 1 species